rnacentral:lncRNA from 1 species
AGCUGCUCCAACAGAGCAGUGUUUGGCAUCCAGAAUGUCACUUCUGCACCGGAAACCAGGGGAUGCCACACCCAGACAGGCCUUCACAGUCCAAGCCCACCAGCUUCCGUUGCAGAAGCAGCCAAGAGAGGCUGCCCUGCCCGGAACCACAGGCCGCAGCAGCACCAGCGCUGGAAGCCCCAGCCCCAGCCUGCAAGCCCAGGACACCUGUCAACAGGCUAAGCCUUAAGACAGGGCUUGCGGAGGCUGAGAACUGCUGCACACACAGCACACGGAGCCCCGAAGCCCCACGGGUUGCCCAGCUGGAUGCUGGCAGUGGGACGAUCAUCUUGGCGCCAAUGCGGGGACCUGGCUUCCUGGCAGGACGUGGCAGGGGCCUGGCAUUCCAGCCUGCGGUGCACUGGGGAUGGUUACCCCUUCUGAACUGCAGAGCUGGGUGACCGUUUCGAGGGCUUCAUGUUGUCGCCUGCCAUGUCUCAUGCUGCAAGGGGAAGGUUCUCCUGCACUGGGCUUGUUGGAGAGCUCUAUGGCUAACAGCUGUAUGACCGGUAAAAGUUAAAUUUAAACUCAUUAAAAUUAUACAACUAGAAGGGCUGUUCCCAAGUUGCACAGGCCACUUUUCAAGUGCUCCAUGGCCACAUGUGUUACACACCAGAAUCAAACAUCUUCAUUGCUGGAGCUCCCAUUGUUUUUUUGUUUUUGUUUUUGUCUUUUCGCCUUUUCCAGGGCCGCUCCCGCGGCAUAUGGAGGUUCCCAGGGUAGGGGUCUAAUCAGAGCUGUAGCCGCCGGCCUACGCCAGAGCCACAGCAACGCGGGAUCCGAGCCGUGUCUACAACCUAUACCACAGCUCUCGGCAACGCCAGAUCCUUAACCCACUGAGCAAGGCCACGGAUCGAACCCGAAACCUCCUGGCUCCGAGUCUGAUUCGUUUCCGCUGCGCCACAGCAGGAACUCCGACAUGAGGAUAUUUCUGGAAAGGUGCUCACUGGAGUCCCCAGGAGUUACUAGUGGGUCCCGAGUGUCAAGAUAAUUUCAACCCAGCACAGGCUCCUCCAGGAAGGAGGCGGGAGACAGAGAGCUGGCAGCACCCCUGCAGAGCUUGAACGGCAGAGGGUGGGGGGAGUUUGUCCCUUCUCGAGCAGGCGGGGGCUUCUCCAGGGUGACUGAGGGGGUGGGGUGUGGUCUUUGGGUGGCCGCAAGUCUACCCAGGACAACCACACGCUAGAAGCAUCUUGCCAUUUGCUUUCUUUAUUUUUCUAUUCUGCCCAGGUCAGUGAGGCAGCGACACUAAGAAAAAGUGAGACAAAUUGUUUUCUGGCACGGCGAUGCACUAACCCCUUCCACAUGGAUGCUCAGAGGUCGUUCUAAGAGCUUUUCAUCAAACUGAGUUGAAUCUGGAGGAUCUGGCAGCCCACACACCAAAAAUCACUCCCAGAGUGAUGUCAGGCCAGCUUCGGAUGCCUGUUUCCAGGAAAGGGGAGCUCUACUGAACAGACAGCAUUGUAGGUCAGUGCCCUUCCAGCUCUUUCCAAGUCCCAGCAGGUCAGAAAGGAGAGCCAGGUGAAGGGAUCUGGUUCCUUAGGCAGGCUGGCCCCUCCUGCUCUCCCCACCCAGGGAGCCCCCCAGAACUACGGCAGCACAGGAAGGUUGGGGGGUUCCCUGCGAACCCCACUGCAGGCCAUGAGCCCCAGUGCACGCCUGCUGCCUGCACUCACUCUUGAAUUAUUUCAGCCUUUGUCUCCUUUCAUGAGCAGGAUCCUUUGUUGAAAGGGAAGCUAAGCCGAUUCAAGAGGCUCACUGAUGCUCACUUGGUAACGUCUCUAUUGUCAACAGAGAUAGGAUUUAUUUGCAGCAGCUUAGAAUGUCCUGGGGCCAGAGAGGGUGGAUUCUCUUAGAAUACCCGGGAGCCUCUGGAGAGGAGCCUUUUGAACGGUCAUAUUUGGGAUGGCAGAACCCUGGGAAUGUUGCCUUUCAGUCAUGCAAAUUGCAAAUGCAUGGGAACUCUUGCUGUCACGCAAACAG